AACGUAGGAACCGAGCGUUAUCCGAAUUUACUGGGCGUAAAGCGCAUGUAGGCGGUUCGAAAAGUUGGAUGUGAAAGCUCCUGGCUCAACUGGGAGAUGCCGUUCAAAACUAUCGGGCUUGAGUGCGGUAGAGGGAGGUGGAAUUCCCGGUGUAGUGGUGAAAUGCGUAGAUAUCGGGAGGAACACCAGAGGCGAAAGCGGCCUCCUGGACCGUAACUGACGCUGAGAUGCGAAAGCCAGGGGAGCAAACGGG
rnacentral:rRNA from 1 species